rnacentral:misc_RNA from 1 species
CCGAGUUUACAACUCCCAAACCCCUGUGAACAUACCUAUACGUUGCCUCGGCGGAUCAGCCCGCGCCCCAUAAAAAGGGACGGCCCGCCCGAGGACCCCUAAACUCUGUUUUUAGUGGAACUUCUGAGUAAAACAAACAAAUAAAUCA